rnacentral:rRNA from 1 species
AUUGAACGCUGGCGGCAGGCCUAACACAUGCAAGUCGAGCGGGGUUUUCGGACCUAGCGGCGGACGGGUGAGUAAUGCGUAGGAAGCUACCCGAUAGAAGGGGAUACCAGUUGGAAACGACUGUUAAUACCGCAUAACGUCUACGGACCAAAGUGUGGGACCUUCGGGCCACAUGCUAUCGGAUGCGCCUACGUGGGAUUAGCUAGUUGGUGGGGUAAUGGCUCACCAAGGCGACGAUCCCUAGCUGGUUUGAGAGGAUGAUCAGCCACACUGGAACUGAGACACGGUCCAGACCCCUACGGGAGGCAGCAGUGGGGAAUAUUGGACAAUGGGCGCAAGCCUGAUCCAGCCAUGCCGCGUGUGUGAAGAAGGCCUUCGGGUUGUAAAGCACUUUCAGUAGGGAGGAAGAGUUGAGUGUUAAUAGUACUCAGCUUUGACGUUACCUACAGAAGAAGCACCGGCUAACUCUGUGCCAGCCGCCGCAGUAAUAC